CCCAAUCCAAAUUUCUAUCGAAUCCACGCGCCUCUAUCUUUUUUCAGUACAAUCGACAUUAACAUCUUUCAUCAAGCUCAGUCCACUCUUCUCAUGAAACUCCAUCAUCGUCGACCUUGACCCAGAUAGGUUUCAGACGAAGCCCAUUAUUGUAAUCUGCUGCUGGAGUUUACUUGUCUGUAUCUUCUUCUUGUUGGGUCACUGUAUCUUCUUGCUAUGAGAUUGCUAUAAAAAUCCAGGACUGAUCAAAAUGUUUCCCCUGUGCUCGGCCACAAGCUGCCAUUACCAUUCUCAGAUUUUAUUUCCUGGCAAUUGGCGAGGCUGUUCUUCCUUCAGGAGAGAGUUGAUUCACAGAUACAGUUCUGGUGACAAUGCCUUCUUUCGUAUCUCUAAUGGAACACGCCUGCAGAAGACUUUCUUACCUCAAGCCACUGGGAGUUUCUUCACCGGUACUAUCGAGAAAGUAGAGCAACCAGUAUCAACAUUCAGAAGUUUGUGCCAGAAUGAGUUGGACAGAAUAAACGUUUAUGACUUGAGUGAAGCUGUUGUAGCGGGUGAUGGGGGACUGGCAUAUGUAGAUGGAGAAGAUGUUUUCCCUGCUGAAGCUGUUGUAGCAGAUGUUUCCCCUGUUGAAGCUGUUGUACCAGAUGUUUCUCCUGUUGAAGCUGUUGUACCAGAUGUUUCCCGUGUUGAAAGCCCUUCUGCUGAGACUUUAACCGAAAAGAGCAGUAGCCUUAUAGACUCGGUUGAGUCGGGAACCAAAUUGAGUCUUGAGAUAUCUCAGGAUACUUCAGUCUCUCUUCCGGAUACUCUGGAUCUCAAUCCAGGAUCACUUCUUGAUGCGAAAGCUAGCUUUGAUGACUUUUCUUCUGGGCUCAAAGAGUCCUUCAGCUCAUCACUAAACCAAGGAGAAAAUGCUGUAAAGAACUCUUUGGAUUCCUUCUCCUCGUCUGUGACAUCUAUUACAAAGAAUGCUUCUGAAGUUGUAGAUGAUGCAUUUAACAGAGCGUUUUCUGCGGUCGACCAAACAGGAGAUAUAGCUGGAGAUAAGUUUUCAAGUUUUUCUACUGGCUUGAAGGAAGCUUCACACAGAGCAGCUGUUAUUGCCAUUGAUCUGUUGAGGCAAUCAGUUAGUAUUGCAGAAAGUUCUGUAACAAAUGGAGUUUCUUUUGUUGUGUACUCUUAUGGGUCAGCAAAAGAUUUAUUUCCUCCAGAUGUUAAGAGUGCCCUUAACUCGUCAGAAGAUGUUGCUCUAAAAGUAUUGAGUCCCGUGGGAGCUGUGUUGCAGCAGGUAUCUGUUGCCAUUGGAGGUUUGGAGAGAAAUUUCGGUUUGGAUCCAGAUGACCCAAUCAUUCACCUUUUUCUAUUCGUAGGCACCACAGGAACCUUUUGGGUUCUAUAUCGGGUUUGGACAUAUGGUGGAUAUGCUGGAGAUUUGUCUCCCAAGUCAACUCUGGACCUUUUAAGAUCAAGAGAAAAGUCAGUGCUCAUAGAUGUCAGGCCUGAAGCCUUGAGAGAGAAAGAUGGAAUCCCUGAUCUGCGGAGAUCAGCUCGAUUUCGAUAUUCUAGCGUGACACUGCCUGAGGUUGACGGUGCUGUCAAACGGCUACUGAAAGGUGGAAGUGAAGUUGAUGAUAUCUUGACAGCAGUAAUCAUCAAGAACUUGAAAAUAGUUCAGGACAGGUCCAAGGUUAUUGUUAUGGAUGCUGAUGGAACUCGUUCGAAGGGUAUUGCGAGAGCCCUGAGAAAAGUUGGGAUUAAGAGACCAUACUUGGUGCAAGGUGGCUUUAGAUCAUGGGUUAAGGAAGGUCUUCGUGUGAAGGAGCCGAAACCUGAGACAACACUUACGAUCCUCAACGAGGAAGCUGAGGCGAUUCUUGAAGACAUAAAUCCUUCUCCAUUGCAACUAGUAGGAGUUGGUGUGAUCUAUCUAUGCAGGGUUUUUUCGCAGCAUUGUAUGCUUUGUCUGAGUGGGAGAAAACACUGCAACUCAUAGCUGUCAUUGGCCUCGGUCUGACUAUAUACCAACGACUUUCUUCAUAUGAUGACUCCGAAGACUUCAAACAAGACGUCAGGCUGUUGCUUGCACCAGUGAGACUCGGAGCUCAGGCUUUCUCAUGGGCUGCAGGAAAACUCGAAACAAAUGGUGUUGGGCUCCCAACUUCACCUUCGUCUUCAGAUGUUCGAAGCCGGGUUUUGCAAGCUGCUGCUAAGCAUGAAUCUAAGCCCUCUGAUGAAACUUCUGAAAGUCUCCAAGAUGCAUCAUCGUCACCAGAAGAAGCUUUGAACAACGUUGAUGUCUCCGAAGCGUAAAGGCUCGAAAAUUGUUUUAUAUUAAUUUGCCAAGAAUUACUUUGUUUUUCGUCUCUUGGAACCGUUAACAUUCAUCAUUGAUACACAACAGAAAAAGUGUAAUUCAAAAACUUUUUCUUUUCGUUC